UACGUAGGGAGCAAGCGUUGUCCGGAUUUACUGGGUGUAAAGGGUGCGUAGGCGGCUUUGCAAGUCAGAAGUGAAAUCCAUGGGCUUAACCCAUGAACUGCUUUUGAAACUGCAGAGCUUGAGUGGAGUAGAGGUAGGCGGAAUUCCCGGUGUAGCGGUGAAAUGCGUAGAGAUCGGGAGGAACACCAGUGGCGAAGGCGGCCUGCUGGGCCCUAACUGACGCUGAGGCACGAAAGCGUGGGUAGCAAACAGG
rnacentral:rRNA from 1 species